rnacentral:rRNA from 1 species
GGGGAAUAUUGGACAAUGGGCGAAAGCCUGAUCCAGCCAUGCCGCGUGUGUGAAGAAGGUCUUCGGAUUGUAAAGCACUUUAAGUUGGGAGGAAGGGCUGCAAGUUAAUACCUUGUAGUUUUGACGUUACCAGCAGAAUAAGCACCGGCUAACUUCGUGCCAGCAGCCGCGGUAAUACGGAGGGUGCAAGCGGUACUCGGAAUCACUGGGCGUAAAGAGCACGUAGGCGGACUUGCAAGUCAGAUGUGAAAUCCAACGGCUUAACCGUUGAACUGCAUUUGAAACUGCAAGGCUAGAGUAUGGGAGAGGUAGGUGGAAUUCUCGGUGUAGGGGUAAAAUCCGUAGAGAUCGAGAGGAAUACUCAUUGCGAAGGCGACCUGCUGGAACAUUACUGACGCUGAGGUGCGAAAGCGUGGGGAGCGAACA